rnacentral:rRNA from 1 species
UGGGGAAUCUUCCGCAAUGGACGAAAGUCUGACGGAGCAACGCCGCGUGAGUGAAGAAGGUUUUCGGAUCGUAAAACUCUGUCUUUUGGGGCGAACGUGAGUAUGGUGAACAAUCAUAGUCAGUGACGGUACCAAAGGAGGAAGCCACGGCUAACUACGUGCCAGCAGCCGCGGUAAUACGUAGGUGGCAAGCGUUGUCCGGAAUUAUUGGGCGUAAAGAGCGCGUAGGCGGGAUAGUCAGUCUGUUGUAAAAGUGCGGGGCUCAACCCCGUGAUGGCAAUGGAAACAGCUAUUCUUGAGUGCAGGAGAGGAAAGUGGAAUUCCCAGUGUAGCGGUGAAAUGCGUAGAUAUUGGGAGGAACACCAGUGGCGAAGGCGACUUUCUGGACUGUGUCUGACGCUGAGGCGCGAAAGCCAGGGGGAGCGAACCGGGGAUUAGAUACCCCGGUAGUCCUGGCCGUAAACGAUGGGUACUAGGUGUGGGAGGUAUCGACCCCCUUUCCGUGCCGGAGUUAACGCAAUAAGUACCCCGCUGGGGAGUACGGUCGCAAGA